AUUGAACGCUGGCGGCAGGCCUAACACAUGCAAGUCGAGCGGAUGAAGAGAGCUUGCUCUCUGAUUCAGCGACGGACGGGUGAGUAAUGCCUAGGAAUCUGCCUGGUAGUGGGGGACAACGUUUCGAAAGGAACGCUAAUACCGCAUACGUCCUACGGGAGAAAGUGGGGGAUCUUCGGACCUCACGCUAUCAGAUGAGCCUAGGUACGAUUAGCUAGUUGGUGAGGUAAAGGCUCACCAAGGCGACGAUCGUUAACUGGUCUGAGAGGAUGAUCAGUCACACUGGAACUGAGACACGGUCCAGACUCCUACGGGAGGCAGCAGUGGGGAAUAUUGGACAAUGGGCGAAAGCCUGAUCCAGCCAUGCCGCGUGUGUGAAGAAGGUCUUCGGAUUGUAAAGCACUUUAAGUUGGGAGGAAGGGCGGUAAGUUAAUACCUUGCUGUUUUGACGUUACCGACAGAAUAAGCACCGGCUAACUUCGUGCCAGCCGCCGCCGUAACAC
rnacentral:rRNA from 1 species